ACGCGAGUAGGCCGCAGAGAAUAGUCUCAAGCGACUGUUUAGCAAAAACACAGGUCUAUGCUAAAUCGAAAGAUGAUGUAUAUGGGCUGACGCCUGCCCGGUGCUGGAAGGUUAAGGGGAAGUGUUAGAGCAAUCGAAGCACUGAACUUAAGCCCCAGUAAACGGCGGCCGUAACUAUAACGGUCCUAAGGUAGCGAAAUUCCUUGUCAGGUAAGUUCUGACCCGCACGAAUGGCGUAACGACUUGAGAGCUGUCUCAACAACAUACCCGGCGAAAUUGAAGUACUGGUAAAGAUGCCAGUUACCCGUGAUAAGACGGAAAGACCCCAUGGAGCUUUACUGUAACUUGAUAUUGAAUUUUUGUAUUACAUGUACAGGAUAGGUGGGAGACAGAGAACUAAUGCCGCCAGGUGUUAGGGAGUCGAUGUUGGGAUACCACUCUUGUAAUAUGAAGGUUCUAACCUGCACCCGUGAAUCCGGGUGGGGGACACUGUCAGGUGGACAGUUUGACUGGGGCGGUCGCCUCCUAAAAGGUAACGGAGGCGUUCAAAGGUUGGUUCAGCACGGACGGAAAUCGUGCAACGAGUGCAAACGCAUAAACCAGCCUAACUGCGAGACCGACAAGUCGAGCAGUAACGAAAGUUGGAGUUAGUGAUCCGGCGGUAUGAGAGUGGAAUUGCCGUCGCUCAACGGAUAAAAGCUACCCUGGGGAUAACAGGCUGAUCUCCCCCAAGAGUCCACAUCGACGGGGAGGUUUGGCACCUCGAUGUCGGCUCAUCGCAUCCUGGAGCUGUAGUCGGUUCCAAGGGUUGGGCUGUUCGCCCAUUAAAGCGGUACGCGAGCUGGGUUCAGAACGUCGCGAGACAGUUCGGUCCCUAUCUAUCACGGGCGUAGGAAAUUUGAGGAGAGCUGACCUUAGUACGAGAGGACCGGGUUGGACGUACCGCUGGUGCACCUGUUGUUCUGCCAAGGGCAUAGCAGGGUAGCUAAGUACGGACGGGAUAAACGCUGAAGGCAUCUAAGCGUGAAGCCCCCUUCGAGAUAAGAUUUCCCAUAGCGUAGGCUAGUAAGGACCCAUGAAGACUACAUGGUUGAUAGGCCGGAGGUGGAAGUGCAGUAAUGUAUGUAGCUGACCGGUACUAAUAGUCCGAGGGCUUGACCAA
rnacentral:rRNA from 1 species